UUCAGUAAUGCCCACUGUGUUGAUUUUCACAAAAUUUUAGUAUUUUCUUCUUAUCCACAUUCAAUAAUAUUCACAAAAAAUGAAACUACACAAAUUCACCUAAAAAUUGAAAUCAACAACAAAAAAAAAUCAAAUCUUGAAAACCCCCUUUUAGAUAGAAGAGCAAAAAAAUCAAAUCUUGAUUUGCCCCUUUUUGUGUUAUUGUUGUUUUUAGAUAAAAGAGCAAAAAAAAUCAAAUCUUGAAAACCCCCUUUUAGAUAGAAGAGCAAAAAAAUCAAAUCUUGAUUUGCCCCUUUUUGUGUUAUUGUUGUUUUUAGAUAAAAGAGC
rnacentral:misc_RNA from 1 species